CUAGACCACUAAUGUAAUAUCUUCACAUUCUCUCUGUGUUCUAUCUUAUCUCUCUCUCAAAGCUCCCACUCUCUCAAAGAGCUAUUAGUGUCUACAAUGAUCUUGGAUGUUCAGCAAUUGAAAAAAGAUUUAAAUCCAAAGAUUUAUAAUGAAGAUAUCAUUGAUGUUCAUAUUUACGGUAUGUUUCGGCUCACUUGCAUUUUAUCGUAUUCAGCGGAAUACUACCUUCUCUAAGAAUUGCUAUGAUUUCUAAGAUUCUAAAGGGUGAAGCUGAAAGGAUCAAAUUCAACUUUCCUGUUGUUACCACUAAAGUAAGUUUUUUCCUCAAUUUACGUAGUUGUGUAGGUAGAGAACCUUGAUAUUUUAUUUCAGCUUAAUUUCUAUCAGACAGGAGACGAUUCUGAUGUGUUACUUAUGGCAGCAAAAUCAGAUGAUUCAAGUUAUAGGAUCAAAACCGGAAUACUGAUAGAAUAUCGUAAGCGGUGUUUUUCCAUAAGAGGAGCAAGAAGAAUUUGAAUUAAAAUAGGUAUUUAUAGAGUUUUAAAAAUCUUCAAAUUCUUCCCAGCUCACAAAUAUUUGAUCAACAGAUUUUCCACUUCCAGCACUCACCAAGCGACACUUCCAUUCAUCCUCUCCGCCCCUCUUGUAGCCUGAAUUGUACCAACCGUGAGAGAUGAACUUUUGGCAUUUUUAAGUAAUUUUUUUGGAUAUACUAAUAUUACUCAUUCCUUUUAUUUACCAUUUUGGUUCAAAUGUCAUCAUUGUCUUUUUUUUUAAGUAAGUUUUGGAAUAGCUCCUAUCUGAGUUAUGGUUAUUCUUGCUAGUAGCCAUCAAUUAGUAAACUUAGUAUGAUAAAUUUAUUUUCAAUCUCAAUUUCAAUUUGACUCAAGAAAUACUGAUAGAUAGUAAAAUAUUAGACUGGUUCUUUCAACUUGAAUGUGAUACUUAUACAUAUGUUUCAUGCAAAUUCCCUGACUCUAUUAUCCCUGUUGUUACUUAUUAGCGGCCAUUAUUUAUUGUUCAUGUGGUAUGCACCUUAUAGUUCACCAUGAUAUGGAUUUGACACCUGCUAGAACUUUGACAUUACUUUCUCUGUUUGCUGUUCUUCGAUUUCCUCUCUUCAUACUUCCGAAAUUUAUAACGCAGGUUAUUCUCUCUUCACUCCAUUUUUGUAUUCUCUCUUUAGAUUGGAAACAGAUUAAGAUGGAUUUUUUUAGGUUAAUAUCAACAAAAUUUUAUGCAAUAGAAUACUUAUUUUAUUCAUUAUUCUUACUUUUAUAUUGUUAUUAGUAGAAUACUCGUGAAUCAAAAAUUUGUUGCUCAUUCAAGACUACAAAGUUUCCGAAGCUACAACUCCUUCUGCUGUUGAGAUUAUACCAGCAGGGAGUGAAUGGAAACAUCCACGAAAGCUUCCGGUCUCAUACUAGCCGGCAAGAUUCGUUGUCGGUUUGGCAUGAGAAUAAAAUGGAAAGUCUAUCCAGUUGUGAAUUGGAAGAAGGCAAGGAGAUAUGUUAUUGCUAAGGAACUCACACCAAUUAUGAUGAGUCAAGUAUCACCGUGCCGAUAUCGCCAUUAAAAGAUAAGUAAUUCUUACCUUAUCCAUGGUCUAAAAUUACGUCUGUUUACUAAGGAAAUUACUUCCUCUAUCGUGUUAAUCACUUAAACCUGUUCAAGCCAUGAUUCUUAUGCUUAAUGACCGAUUUCAGAUUCUAUGAGGUCAUUAACGGUAAAGACGAGGAUGUUAAUGUUCAGACAGAAGGAUUUCCAAUAGUUAUAUGAAAACCGAUAUGAGUGAGCAGAAAAUGCAAGUUGUAUGUUGGGAUUACAAGGGCUGAGCUACAAAAAACAAAGUGGCAAAAUAAAUCUGUUGCAGAUCAGCUCUUAUCGGAGCGCUCGUGUUAUCGUUCAAGGCCUAUAAUGUAGCAGCAGAGCAACAAUGGCGAGGAUACAGGUUGCUUCCAAUUUUAUUUGUCAAGCAGGUGCUUAUACAUCAAAAGGGCAUCCUAAUGGUAAGAUCCUUAAAGGUCUGUCGCAUGGUGAUGGUAUGAUUACGUCAUAUCGUUUUGCAUACUUUAUGGAGGUACUAAAUUUAAACUGUGUUGUAUGAUGCUAUAUAUAUAGUUCAUAAAAUUCAAUACAAUGGACCAAAAAUACUGCAGCUCACUAAGAGCUAUUGCAAUCAAAAUUCCUCGAAAAAAUUAUUUAAAGGUAACAGAAUUGGAGCAAUAAGAGAUAUUUAGAACAAUAUUGUAUGGUACAAAUAUAUUAUGUUAAUCUCGGCAUGCUAAAUUAACUUUUUCAUGGAACAUGUUUUUGUUAUAAAGAAACUUGUGAUGUUACAAUUAAAUGAUGCAUAUAGAAGUUGAUAAAACUCUGUGAUACAUGUCUUUGAAUUGUUUAAGCCAAUUGAUGUGAGGAGUAUUCCAUAUCAACCGCGUUAGCUAAAUCAAAGACAAGGCCGAAACAUAUUUGUCUUAUUUUCGAAGAGGAUAUUCCGUGCUGAACUAUAAGAUAGGUAAGGAGCAUGUUUGGGGUUAUAUGAUUCUAACUUCAAAGCCACAAGGUAUCCUGCCACAAUUUUUGCUUUGAAGUUUUAUUAAUAUUUCUCCAAAGUUUUAUUAAUUUUUACUUGAAAGUUCCGCUGGACAAGUGAAUGGAAAGCAAAGCUACACUAUUAACAGUGUGUCUUAUAUUGCCCCUGACACUCCUCUUAAGCUAGCUGACUUUUUCAAGAUAUCAGAUGUUUACCGUCCUGGUAGUAUAUCUGAUAGACCAAGUGGCAGUGGUAUAUACACCGACACUUCUGUUAUGCAAAUUGACUACAGAGCAUAUGUAGAGAUUGUUUUCCAAAACGAUGAAGACAUUCUUCAGAGCUAUCAUCUUGAUGGCUACUCUUUCUUUGUGGUUGGUAUGGAUGGAGGACAAUGGACAAGUGAUAGCAGGAAAGAGUACAAUCUUCGAGAUGCAGUUUCGCGUUGCACAACUCAUUAUAUAUCAUCAUAUGGCUGUCAGUUAUAUACUUUGUGAAUAUAUCACUAUAUUAAACAUGUUAAUUGAAGUGCAUGUUAGUUAAAGCUCCAAAGAAAGUAGCAGAAUAUUAUAUCAAAGCUUGACCAAGGUUCUGCAGAGUUCAAUUCUUUCGCUUUGAUUUUCUAAAAAAUGCACUAUUGGAAAUAAUGAUGCUCCAAAGCUUAUGAGACAUGUGUAUUUGACAUACCAUUUAUUGACCAUAAUUUAUGGUGCUAGUUAUUAUAGUCUUUAAGCUUGUCAUACACAUUUGUUCGGUCUUUCUCCCCAAUCACAAAAGGGUGUGCAACAUAUCUACAUGCUUUGAUUGAGGUGAUCUAUUUAGCAUCAACUGGUGGAUCAACAACUCUAUUUCGUUUUCCCGCAUGGCUUUAACUUUGGGAAAUUGUCAGGUUUGCAUUGGCCAUGUUGUUGCCGUAGCUAGUGCUGUUUGUGACCAUAUACACUGAGGUUUACAUCAUCUUCUAAUAUUGAAACAAACUCCCUCCUCGGCUUUUCUUUUUUUAUUUUUCUUUUGUUGACUAGCAAAAUGCGCACUCUCACCAUCACUAGCACCAGCAACAAAGUCUAUUGAAUGCUGCUUAGAAGUUUGAUCACUAGAUGAACCAAAUGACCAAAUGUCAUUUUCCUUGCUUUUUUUAGUGUAAUCUUUGUAUGUUUUGAUAGCUUUGUGUGGUGUAACAUUGACUGAAUUUAAAAUCUUCAUUCUACUACAGGUUUGCGAAAAUGAUGCAGAGGAAUUGCACUGAGAUGCCACAAGGUUUGCAAAAAUGGUGUAACAUUGACUGAACCGAAAAUAUUCAUCCAUGAAUUUCAUUUCAACAACAAUGCUUCCACCUUGAGGUUCACAUCAAUACAAAUGAAGAAGAAUGAAUGAAGACUGGUUAUUGAUGUUUGAAGACUUAUUGUUUGUCAACCUUUUAUUUUGGUGUCAACUAAACUAUUAAGUCACUGCUUUUUAAAUUUCAAGACAUGUUAAGAUUGGUGUAAAUGAAUGCCUCCAUUUGGUACUGUCAAACACAAGAUUAACACAAUUUCAAUUCAAUUUUUUGUCAUACACCAUUAA